CCUACGGGUGGCAGCAGUGAGGAAUAUUGGUCAAUGGGCGUAAGCCUGAACUAGCCAAGUCGCGUGAGGGAUGAAGGUUCUAUGGAUCGUAAACCUCUUUUAUAAGGGAAUAAAGUGUGGGACGUGUCCUAUUUUGUAUGUCCCUUAUGACUAAGGAUCGGCUAACUCCGUGCCAGCAGCCGCGGUAAUACGGAGGAUCCGAGCGUUAUCCGGAUUUAUUGGGUUUAAAGGUUGCGUAGGCGGCCUUUUAAGUCAGCGGUGAAAGUCUGUGGCUCAACCAUAGAAUUGCCGUUGAAACUGGGGGGCUUGAGUAUGUUUGAGGCAGGCGGAAUGCGUGGGGUAGCGGUGAAAGGCUUAGAUAUCACGCAGAACCCCGAUUGCGAAGGCAGCCUGCCAAGCCAUGACUGACGCUGAUGCACGAAAGCGUGGGGAUCAAACAGGAUUAGAUACCCCGGUAGUC
rnacentral:rRNA from 1 species